ACCCAUCCAAGCCACCGCAUACCACGCCGCAAGUCGCCUCAUGCCGCCGCCGCUCGCCCCUUUCUCUGUAGGUCGCCAACGCAACCCUGGGCCCCAGGAUCGUUCCCUCCUCCCCACCAGGCUAUUGGCUCCGCAGCGGCCGCAAUCCUGGGCAUCAGGAGCGCGCAGCCGCCGCAAUCCUGGGCAGAUCUAGCCGGGGCCGUGGGCAGCCAUCCCUCCAUCCGGGCGGCCAUGAAGAAUUGAAGCGGCUUGCGCAGAACUAGCGCAUGGACCAUGCGCGCCUCCCGCGCUAGGAGCCACCGGUCCUCGUCAUCUGCUAGCAUCCACGAGGAAUCGAUCCAUAUGUAAGCUACCUUCCACAAUAAUCCAUCCAACAGGCUGCUUGCUUGUUUGUGUACUAGUGCCAAGGGGAGCAAGAUGCAAGGACGACAUUGAGGGUACAUGCCUGAUUCUCCUGGUAAUAAUAGUAGUACGUACGUGUUCCUGCCCGUGGUGGAGAUGCAUAUACCCGAAUACCCGUAACAUAUCCAUACAUACUCGAAUACUCUCAAACUGGCAUGUAUACAUACAUACCCGAAUACCUGUGUGAUUUUUUAAUUCAGCUAAAUAGGUCUACUGAUUGUCAGAUUGGGUAGUAGAAAUUGUGAAGAGCAACACGGACAUGUACUUUACUGAUAGGGAAUGUAGGUGUAAUACAUAGUGCUUUUCAUGGUAAGGGUUCUAGUAGAUGUAUGAUCAUUUUAGUGUAGUAUAUCCCAACUAUCCCAACUUCACUAUGAAAAUACAGCAGAAACUUGUCUGUUUAUUUCACUUUAAUUAUUAUAUUUCUCGUAUCUCAAUCUCAUAUGCUUGUUUGAUAUAAUCCAAUGGGUGAUAGCAUCACUUUUUACAACUACCCAUCAGGGUUACCUUUUUAUUUAGGUAAAUGUAAGACUUCAUCACCUUUUACCAAGUAUCCAUCCUGUCUACAUUAUGCGCAAAAUAGGUUCCACAUUUAAUUCCAAAUUUGUUGAAUAUAUGGUUUUACUGCGUGCUUAUAGUCUGUAGCUCUUGGCUGUACAUCUGUUUCUAUCUCAAUCUAUUUAUCAUUCUACUCUUACAGAAUGUUUGAGGAGAGCUCGGUUAGUGUCAACACCUCAAGGGUUUAUGCAUAUCAGUUCCUUCUGCUUAAAGCCAUUGUAAUGAUGGCUACUGGUUCCAGGUAUAUGUUUAUGGAGUCAUAUGGCGCGCUCUUAUAACUUUGCCAUGGAAUGUCUAUUGUUAGAAAACAUCUUGCGAGUACUUUGGUUAGGUACUAGAAAGCACAUACACACACAUGCCCAACACAGCAACAAGCACGCACAUACAACACAACACAGAUGCUCUGCUCCUGAUUUGCCAAUAGUACGCUUAUGCUUUGCCACUCCGAAUUUUUUGCACUAUGAGCCACUUUGCAUGUGCUUGCUCAUGUAGUGACCUGAUUGACAGUUGUUUGUGUUGCCGUGUUCAAGCUCGUGCUACAGCAGCAACCCAGCAGCAAAACUCUGAGCUCAGCCAGCAGGUCAACGAAUUACACGAUCAACUACAAGCUGAACGUGCAAACACACAAGAGAGGAUUAACUUGGAGCGUGUUGAGAGAGAACAACUUCAGGAGAGGUUAGAAGAAGAGCGUGCUGAAAGGGAAAUAUUGUUGGAAGAACUGGAAUUUGAAAAAAACACGAUGUCAAAGUUUGCAAAAUGGAGCCAGCAAAUGGGAACCCGUGAUUAUAGUCAUAUGCUUGCAACCUUGUAAGAUUUAUGUUGCUUGCUUACAUUGCUAAAAGUGCACUUCUAUUUGCAGGUGCCAACGAAGAGGAUUGACAAAGAAGAUAGUAGUCCAAACUUGCAAAAUACUUUUUUUCAGAUAUCUAGUCCUAAUAAGACUCCAGGUGCAAGGCUAACUGUUAUUUCUUCAAGUGUGCUCAUACAAGCUGAACAAGGAAUUCUCAAAUGUUUAAAGCAAUGGGCUGUCAGGUGCAACAUUCCUCUUGCUUCGAGUGCCCAUUGCAGGGCUGUCAGGCGCAAUAGAUAUGGCCUUUGAUCUACAUUAAAACAUCAGAUUACAUACUAUGAUGAUCCUCGCAGAAUAUACGUUGCUAACUUACACAUUGUCAAAGAAACAUUUCAUUGAAGAUUGUGCAGCUUUCAUACCUUGUAGAUUUAGAGGUGGUCUUUGAUGAUUUCGACUUGGCGACAUUGUCUUCAAUUGCAUCACUCGGACAUAGAAGUAGAGGGAGUGCAGUUUCAGUUUCGAUUGAACAUGGAAGAACAACCUUUGUAAUGGGUUUUUUCUUUCUUUUGUCCCUGCAUUAGUUUCACAUAUUAGCAUCAUUAGGACAAGAUUAUGAUAAAAACAGUAAUAUUGAAGCAAGCACUACCUUUUUUGCUUUGCUACUUCAGCAUAGACAGCUAGUGCUUCCGGAGCAGCAUCUUUACAGCUUUGCCAUCUAUGUCCAUAGGCCUUGCAAAUUGGACAUUGGUGCUGGCCUUUAUUUCCCUUGCCCUUGCUAUUCUCGGCACCACUUUUAUGCCUCUGUACUUUUGGCCUCCCAGGGGCCCUCCUAAGGAUUGGGGGAUUCAAAAUGAAAUCUUUGUUCACACUUGGCCAUUGAGACAUGUCGGUCAGGCCAGGAAGAACAUGGGCAUAAGCUGCAGUGAACUUGGCAACGCUGUAAUAGUCAUCAACAAAAUCUGCUAUGGUGACUCCC
rnacentral:rRNA from 1 species